UGAUGAUACCCCUAACCCCUCACAGAGACCCCACCUCAAAACAGAAUGACUGAUUAUAGGAGCCAUUCAUAAAAAAGAAAAACAGCCCACACAACACCACUAGCAGGUGAAUGUGCCACAUUAAGUGCUGCUGCAGUGCAGCUACAGUAAAAAAUGACGUUUCAUGUCAAAAGUGAGUGUUAGUCAUUACUGUCCACACCCUAAGUUUGUAGGCCUCUCCGAGUUGCCAUCUUUUUUGUCACAUACCUCAUUCAUUGAUUACAUUUAUAUUAAAUCGUGAAUUUAUUACAACAUAGUGGGUCAAUAUUGUCAUGAUUUGGUAUUAUUUAGUUUUGUAUUUCAGUGUUUAGUGUUCUUUAUGUUCUAGUUCUGUGUGUCUUCAGUGUUUCAUGUAUUUAUUUUGUAGUUGUCCUCAGUGUUUCUUGUGUUCAUUCCUUCCUCUGUGUGUUUCCCUCCUGUGUGAUUGCCCUCAUUGUCUUCACCUGUGUCGUUAGGCUCACCUGUGUCUGAUUACCCCUGUGUCUAUUUAGUCUCUGUGUUUCUUCUGUUCUGUGUCAGUUCAUUGUAUGUGUUUGUCAGUGGCGGUUGUCGUAUGUCAGUUUAGCCGUGGCUCCUUGUUUUCCUUUGUUUGUCUUUUAGAAAAAUAAAUAGUUUUUGUUGAUUCUGCAUCUGGGUCCUCCUCUUGGUUUUCUCGAUCCGUGACAAAUAUAGCUUGUGUUUUUCAUGAACCCAUAAUCUACUGUAUCAUAAUGACAACAGGUUUAAAGCUCCCUGUGGUGGCUAUUUGUCAUGAAAAAAAACAAAACAAAUUAAGAUCAUUUUACAAACAAACUGCAUAAACUUAACAAACGGCCACUGAUGCACCAAUCCAGUGAGAUCGUAUGCAGGCAAUAAUUGCAAUGUCCAGUCAGGAAUCACUGUUUCUUCAUUUUAAUUUGGAUCAUGUAAUCGAACAAACAUUUCAUGCUGCAUUUCAUUCAUUGACCUGGUAAAAAAAAAACAACCUUGACUAUAAAUACAGUAAACAGUCUUUAUGGCAGAGCUUUUGACUAUGCAUGCAUGCUACUUGCAUCGUAAUUUGGCAGUAUGUGCGAGUGUGUAAAGGCAAUAAAACUGAUAUUGAUCAAGAGGAAAUCUAUCUAUUAAAUAGAGGACCCAACAGAGAACGCCUACAGCAUCAAUAUCUGUUACAAAAGAUGCGACAAAGGGGGGGAUUUUACUUCAGACUGAAUAUAAAACACCGAAAGAGUUGUGAAAGAGCAUCGCUAGACAUUUCAACAGACCCUUGAGUCAUGAAGAGCAGGCUUGCCUCAUAGCCAGAACUGGAAAGAGUAUAAAUGUUACAGUCCAAAGAGGUAAAUAAUAAUAAUAAUAAUAAUAAUACAUUUUAUUUAAAGGCGCCUUUCAAAACUUUCAAGGUCACCUUACAGAGCAGAGAUAAAAACAACAAAGUAACAACACAAUAAUCUUUCCAAUAAUCGGCUCAAAUGCUUAUAUAAGGACAUGAAUACAUCUGAGGCUAGCAAUAAAGAACAUGUAAAAGAGUUUAAUUGAGUAAAAAGCAGUGGUCAGAUGAGUAUGACAAAUCCACUUUGGAAGGUUUGUAAAAAAUAGUUAAGUUCAACAGUGCAUUCAAGGAAAUGAAGCCAUGAAAAGGUCUGAGCCCUUAAGGGUACCCGAUAGUACCCUUACUCUAUGACUGCUACAAUAUCAAUAACAAGGGUAGAGAGCUGCUUAAAUGACUCAGCAAUAAUCUGUAAUCACAGGUGGAAAGAAAAUCGUGAUCAAUUGUGGGAACAGAACCUUUUUAGUAAUCAAAGAUUAUUAUUAUUGUUUUUUAGUUAUUCACCAAAAGAGAAAUGUGAUGUAGUUAUAUCUUUGUAAACCGACAGGUUGAAAAUAUUGACAUAUCGGCUGUGUUUCCCCCUCCCCUGGAUUUAAAAUGUUGUGCUCAGGGGACAAAUCAGGAGUGUCGUCUCUUUACAUUGUGCCAAAAAUUCUAGCAGUUUAGUUGAAGUAAAAUAGCUCUUUCUAUUAAAACAAUCGUGUCUUUGGGAGGGAUUUGAAAUCAAUUCAACAGAGAGCAUGUUCUUUCUCAUGAAUCAAAAAGCAAUCUAAUGAUUCUGUUUUAAUCCUAAAAGCCUACCCAGGGACAGGGGUUGAAAAUUAACCACGGCUAGAAACCUGUAUGUGCAUGGCAUCGACUUUGUAUUUUUCAAAUGAAGCAAUGUUAAUUAAAUGUGUCCCUAAAAUAAAAAAAAUGUAUUCCAAUCCUUUCCAUUUUCAGUAAGAUAUGAACAAUCAAGAUAUAUUUCUAUGAGUGUAACUGAUAGAUACGAGGCUCUGAUCAACAGUAACUUUGAAACAGCUUUUUGAGAACGCUGUUUCAAACUGCAAGGAUUAACUCGGUAAAAACUACAAUUAAACCAACAUUUCUAUUCCUAACAGUGCUUGUUUUUAAUACCAAAGGAUUGAUCGAAACAAGGGUUCACAUCAGCUCUUUAAUUAAACCCUAACUCUAGUAAUACGGGAUCAUUUAGAGAGACAGAAAGAGGAGGGAGGGGGAUUUGCUUAUCCAAACGAUAUGUACAAGUAUUGAGCAAACCUACAUCUGAAAAGGAACUUUCUUUGUCUCAGUCCUGUUGUAUGAAGAAGCUUGAGUUUCUCCUGCAACAUCACUCAUGCAAUACAGCAUCAAUACCUCAUUUAUUUUUAUUCCUUCCAGCUGUUUUUAAAAGGUUAUAGCAUGGUUUUCAAUGGAUCAUUUAAGAUAUGGUCAAAUUCAAAAUCCAUCUUAGUCGUAAAUAAAAUUCCCAUCAAACCCACUGCUCCAUCUUCACUGAUAAACGGUCCUCAUUUGCAUGAUGAACAAAUAGAAGUGUGGAAAGGGUUGCGUUUUUGAUUUGCACCACUAAACGCACCUUAACUUACCAUCAGGGAAUACAAAUGGAUCCUUCUUACAACAGGUAUGCGGUUACUGUUCUGAUGUCUGAGACAUUUAAGGAGGCAGUGGGAGGAAGAGCUGGGUGCAGAUAUAUUUCAAUCAGGAGAUACUUAUUGAAGAAUGAACAAGUAUAUCUUGAACAACUUAGGAAAUAAAUGUGCAAAGUCGGUGGGGAUUAGACUCCAUCAUGACGACUUUAUGUACUCGGAGGGGUAAUGAGGCCAAUAGCAGGAUAGGAUACCCCCCCCCCCCCCCCCCCCCCCCCCCCCAUGGAGUCUAGACCCUGGUGGUGGUGGCGAUAGAAGAAUGCAGGAUGUGAUGAGGAGGACGUAUCUGAACUCUGCUGAGCUGGAACGGAGGCGACUAGGGAGGAGGAGGGUCACAGCGAUCACACUGAAAUGACAAACUGACUGUGGAAGAGAGGGAACAGAUUUUAAGAUUUGACCGCGGCAGGAUGAUAGGUUGAGAGAGGUCGUGGCAGAGUCGGGUUGGAUAAACGCCCCAAAUCAUCUGAUCACCAGAGCAGGGAAAUGGUGGAAGUGGUAGAUAGAAAGUGGCUAAGUUGAAUGAAGAAAUUUAAUAAAUGUGUGCAAGAACAUAACCAGUCAUCCAGCUUGAACUUAACACUGAGCUCCAUCAGUGUCAGUUUAGCAGCAGGCAAUAGAAGCGUUACACUCAUCAUUAGUCCGACCUCACUUGUCCCAGAUGUAAUGAGGAGCCGGCCAUCGUCAGUCAUGUUGUGUGCCAAAUUAACAACAUGUGAUUGGAACUUUGGGGUUAAUAUGCAGCAAAUGUGUUGUUUAUUUAUGUACCUACUUUAGUGCAAUGCCCAACAAUGACUCCACUAUAAGCAAAAAGGAAGGAGCUAGUUUUUUUUUUUUAACAAUGGGGACCAGAUGACUAAUUGUUUUAUUUGGAAAAAGGCAUCGUCAGUCAAUAAAUGCUGGGUGCAGCACCUUAUAUCCAACAACUGUUUUUUUUUAUUGUAUUUGAACACAAAGUCCCCUCUGCUUGUAAGGAAUAUAAUAAACCCUUCUACCCUGGCCCUUUCUUUUAUUUUCUAUUUAGUAUUGAUUUAUGUAAUUCAUACAGUUGUUAUUAUUUAUUUAACCCUUUGCAUUUGAGUAUAAUUAAUCAAAAAUGUUUAUGUGAUAAAAUGAUAAAGGUUGAUUUGUCAGGCAUCAAAUUUAAUUCAUCCUUGAAUCACUUUUUUGUGUUUCAGUUAAAUAUUAGGAACAUUUUCGUAUAAAGAUUUGAAUUUGAGUGGAAACUUUUAUAAGACAAAAUGAAUUACAGACUUUCUUUAGUUGCUGUCCACCUGCUCCACAUUUGAACACAGAUUAAGCCUAAUUCAUCCUACCAGAAUGGAAAAUGAACUGUGAUAUUUUGAAAAAAGGAAGAGACCAAUGGAUUGUAAUUUAGCACAUAAUGUCAUCAUCGUUCCAGUCGACGAUGAUGAGGACGAUGCAGGACGAUGCUUUACAAUAUGAAAUUUGUCAUCAAAGUAGUGUUGUUUUCAUGAACUGUGAGUGGAACAUACAGGUAGAUUCUUACCUAUAGUGUCCCUUUGUGUGUGAUCUGGUGUGUUAAUAAACUUUGACAGCCAAAGACUUAUCCACACCUCCACAAAACAUAAUGUCUGCAUGUCAACAUAGAGGAAAGAAUAACAGAUUUAAAAAAAAUGAUAUGAUUAAAAAAUAUAUAUUGUAAAGGUCACAAUAAGAAGAUCCUGAUGGGAUUUUAAAUUUGUUGAGGUUGCAAGUUAUAUUAGAUCUGUCUAAAAAGGGUCAAAUCCAAAGUACAUCCAAAGAAAAACUUACACCGGGACUGAGUUGAAAAUCAAACAAAAUUUAAGAAUUCAAAAAGAGAUCUGAACACUCACAGCAACUUUAACUUCAAAAGUAACGUUUCAAUCUCACAGAUCUUCUUCAGGCAUCAGAACCAUAAGAUCUUCACUUUUGGGGCAUAAAUUUAACUCUACAGGCUAGUGGAAAAAACUGUCAAUAUUGUUAUAAUUUCCAAAAUCAUUCAUUUCUAAAUGAGCUAAAAGAUAUACAUGUAUUUAAUCCACCUCAGAUAUUACAUUGCAUUUCAAACAGGUAGUAGGAAGCAGGUCAGAACAUCUGCAGCUGAGGCACAGAUAGGAUUAUAGUAGAAUCUGUGCAACAUGAAUUUACACUCAAAUGAUUAAAAUUGAGAGGGAAAACCUGCCUGCCCUGUUUUCCACUCCAGGAGAGUGAUGAGAUAUUUAAAAAAGAUUUGACUAUUACAGAUUAUAGGCCUGUUAUCUGCGGUUUUUCUAAUUAAAAAAAAUGCUUUCGAUUCCUAGACGAGACCUUCAAAAAGUGGUCUUGAGACCAAGAUCGAUUUCGAGUAACACUAGGGGCACGUCUGUUAUUUGUGAUUUUGUAGGGUAGCCUACAUAGUUAUUGGUAGGUGCUGGAUGCUAGAAAGAUGUCCCUACCUUCCUGAAAUUGUUUAUUGAAUGAUAGCAUGGAGAAAUCACAAAUAGGCUACUGUGUUUCAGUUUGCAAACAGAGCAGUUUGUGUUUUCUGGUGUGUGUGCGUGCGUGCGUGUGUGUGUGCGCGUGCGUGCGUGUGUGAUGACAGUAAUUAAAGACAUCCAUCAGAAGUGCUAGGAAGUAAUGCAUCAUGGGACCCAGAAUGUGAUCGGGGUAACCAUGACAACAGUAAUCAAACACACAGACGAUGUUUCUCAGCAAGAUUCCUUUUGUUUCCUGCUGCGUCAGGAUUCACUCACCAACUAUGUGCGGCGUGUAAUGAGACAAUGAACAUCAGAGGUUUUAAGAAACGUUACAUUUGUUUUAAUUUGGAUUGUCUUUCAUCAUUUGUGCACUAAAAUCACUCUUUUUUGUAUGUUACUUUCCAUUUUUUCUAUUCCUCUGAUGUUGAGUGUAUAUACCAACAAUGAGAAAGACUUCAAUGCAAAUGUUUAUUACGUUUUUUUAUGGCAAACGUGAAGUUCCACAUGGGUGAGGUUUGCCCUUUGCUAGCAAGACUAAUAUUUCUGGUUGUUUAAUACUUCACAUGUAAUGUGAUGCACAUACUGAACGUUGCUGUAUGUCUCAUGUGUAUGAUAUCUACUGUACAUAGGAUAGACUAAAAGAUUCAAUACAUUUUUACAUGAUAAGGAAUGCAGCUGUGUUGCAUUAUUGUUUUGAAAUGUAGCUGUUUCUGGAAAUAGUCCUGUAGUUUUCUGUCAUCUAUGGGUCUGGUUUUUUAAUAUUAUUUAAGCAGACGAGAAAAAAUAAAUGUUAAGGCAGCUGUUGAUGGUCUUUAUGUUAGAGGAGGUUUUUUUUCUGGACAAGAUAGUCUUCUAAACACAUCAGAUGCUUAAACCUUUUUUUUCUAUAUUUGUUGUUUUGUUGACUAAUCUGUUUCAGUUGAGUUGCCAACCAGUGCUGUUGUGUUUCUGCUCAUUUACUACAAAGCAUUACUCCUAUUGUAAUAUGCUGACCGGCUUAUUAUUCUACUAUUCAGGAACACACUGCUUUCAUUUAUUGCCAAACUGGUUGAGAGAGAAAAUCCAUCAUGAUACAGUCACCUUUGUUUUUGCAUAGUGUUUUUUUCCCUCACUGUGAGGAUGCAGAAUUUAAAAUCUGGCUUUUUUUUUUGGUUUUGGAAAGUGGGAUCUAUAAUACAUGAACAAUAGUACAUGACGCAAAGGAUGCAGUUGUUAAGAAGUUAAUGCAGGUGAAUUUGUACUUGUCAGCAUUGUUUGAAAAAAGUCUUAAGAACUAUAAUUAUCUCAUUGUUUUAUUACAGUUAUAAUCAUUAAUAUAUAUCAGCUCUUUAUUGCCAAUGUUGUGUUUGUCCUUUUUUAUUAGCCUGAGAACAAUCAUUUUGUUAUCUCUGAUAUAAUGAUUAAUACAACCACAUGCCAACUAUAUAUUAUCUGUGACAUAACCAUUUAAUGAGGAACAUUAAAACAUCAGAUGCACAUUUCAAUAUAUUUUGAUUAAUUUAAUUUUUCCCAGCGCCCUCAUCGCCUCCUGUAAAUGUUGUCAUAACUCUUGUGCACACUUGCGUACUGUAACCAGCUUUUUAUGGCAACACACAGACAGACAUGAGGGUGUGAUGUCCAAACAGAUCCUGGAAUAAAUCAUUGCUUCAUUUGCUGAAAGUGAAAAUGACAUCCCUGAAACCAGUUCCCGUAAAUGGAAUUGCAACACUUUGUAAAAAUUGGGAAGGUUGUGAAAACAGAUUGAACUUUGAAUGAAAAAAAAAGGGGGGGGGGCAUAAAAAAGGAAGGAAUUUUCUUCAUAUUGUGUAAUUUCACACACCCAUUGUUAGAGGAGUUGUGUCACUGUAUGGACAACUCAUCUUGCAAUUUUCUUUACAUUAUCUAUUUUUUUUUUCUCCGACUAACUUAUGUUAAAAACUAUCUGUAUUUUCCAAACUUUGCGUAAUUAACCGUUUUUUUCCAUCCAAAUGUGAAACGUGUGGAAGGCCAACAAAAUACCUCAAUGUGAGCCUUCGAUUUUUCAAGACCAUUUUGUUACAGAUCACCUACACUACUUAAAAUAAUUCAUUUUUCCAGUUUACUCUUUGUCAAACCUAGAAAAUCAUAGACAUGACUCGUCCACAAAACACUGGUCUCUAAAUAUAAAAGCGCGUGACUGUUGCUGGAGUUUGCAUGUUCUCCCUGGGCUAUAUUCUCUCUCCAGGUACUCCAGCUUACUCCCACAGGCAAAAAAGUAGGCUUGUCAGGUUAAGUGGGGACUCUAAAUUGCCCGUAGGUGUGAGUAUGUGCAUGAGUGGUUGUCUCGAUAUGUCAGCUCUGUGAUAGACUGGCAAUCUGUACAGGGUUUACCAGGGAUUUACUCUAUCCCCCCCUGAGACCCUGAACAGAAUAAGUGGAUGGAUGGAUGGAUGGAUGGAGGGAUCAUUGAUGCUCUAAUAAAGAAAUUGGGGGAAAUCGCUGCAGGCAGCUUCCAAAACCUCAAAGUAAGUGGAUUCUGUUAAAGCAGCUUCUUAAUAUCAGUUAUAGGUGUAUCACAACGCUACAUUUGUUUUGGUCAGGUGUCUUCAAACUUUCGGCCAUCUCUUACCCUGACAGUUUUCUGUAAAAACCCUUGCUAUGGAGUUCUCCUUGCAGUUUGGUGAGUCACACUCAAUAAAACGACGCCUGUGAAACAGCUCAGGCGGAAAACUUGUGGUUUUGUUUUGCCUUCCAGCUUGAGAAAACUCCUCCCUCACAAGAAGGCUCACUGCUUUUUUAGCUGAUUUUUUUGUCUUUCUUUUUGUGUUUCUUCAUUGUUUAAGCUUCAUCUCUACAAUGUAAUAGUUGCAAAUCUUCCCCUCCCUACACACUUCCUUAGCAACCACAUUUGAGCCAUGUUGAAUAUCAAAAGAGGGGUGAUAGGUAAAAAAAUAAAAUAAAUCUCUGUUUGCUUAUUAGACACAUAUCCCUAAUGCUAGAAAGUGCAUGUACCUUUUAUCAUAACCUCUAUAUUUAUUGUUGAUGGCUUGAUUCUGAACUCAGUCAGAAGGUGAUCACAGGCUUCUGCUAAUCACUCUCAUAAGUCACCACAGACCCAUUUUUCUUGCUUCUCUUUCAAAUGUCAGUAAGUCAGAUGACAUUCUUUCAUUUUUUCAGCUGAUUAAAACUCUUUUUGUGCUUCUCACUCCAUUUGAGGAAAUUCCAUGCAUGUCUUCCAGUCAUUGUUUAUACCCAACAGAUUCAGUGAUCUCACUUCUGUGGGUUUAAUGUUUGAAAAGACAGUAAUGUACUGUUAUAUGUUUUUUCCAUUUCUACAAACCCUUUGCUAGUGUAGCAUCAGAUUUAACAACCAUCAUUGUGAGUGUGUUUAACUGCAAGUUUUGAUUCGGUAUUUGUGUCAAAGUUUACGCUGAAACAUGCUCCAUACACAUAUAACCCAACAGCACUUUUAUUUGUGUCAUUUACAUAAUUCAAGUGGCCUUUUUGUAUUUGAUAGAAACAUGAUGGAUGCCAACAUGGGGGAAUAAAUGACACAAUGUCUUACAUAAAACAUGUCAAGAUAUCUUUUACUAAAUCAAUGAAUUUCAUUUGUAGUGGGUCAAAAAGAUAUCUUAACUGUUAUGACUUUAAGUUCAUACACAUGUAAAGAUAACACGGAAGAGCAUUUUGCUUUAUUUUGAAAUGUCUCAUUUUAAGUUGAAGUCAUUUUAUAACUUUCUGUAACUGAAAAGAAAGAAAAAGAUCAGUGCACUGAA